UACGGAGGGGGCUAGCGUUGUUCGGAAUUACUGGGCGUAAAGCGCACGUAGGCGGCUUUGCAAGUUAGAGGUGAAAGCCCGGGGCUCAACUCCGGAAUUGCCUUUAAGACUGCAUCGCUAGAAUCGUGGAGAGGUGAGUGGAAUUCCGAGUGUAGAGGUGAAAUUCGUAGAUAUUCGGAAGAACACCAGUGGCGAAGGCGACUCACUGGACACGUAUUGACGCUGAGGUGCGAAAGCGUGGGGAGCAAACAGGG
rnacentral:rRNA from 1 species